AUUGUUUCUUAGCCUUUUUGGCUAAAAUCAAGUGGCUAAAAUCAAGUGUAGUGUCAGUUUAAUAUCCAAAGAGAGUAUGUUACAUGGAUUUUUGGAGCUAAGCGAUAGAAAAGGAACAGUUUCUGUCUGCUCCAUGCAUCGACCUGGUAUCGAAGUUCCUCCAGGAACUGUGUGCCGCCU
rnacentral:snRNA from 1 species